ACGGGAGGCAGCAGUGGGGAAUAUUGCACAAUGGGCGAAAGCCUGAUGCAGCGACGCCGCGUGAGUGAUGAAGUAUUUCGGUAUGUAAAGCUCUAUCAGCAGGGAAGAUAAUGACGGUACCUGACUAAGAAGCACCGGCUAAAUACGUGCCAGCAGCCGCGGUAAUACGUAUGGUGCAAGCGUUAUCCGGAUUUAUUGGGUUUAAAGGGUGCGCAGGCGGACCUUUAAGUCAGCGGUGAAAUCCCGUAGCUCAACUACGGAACUGCCGUUGAUACUGGAGGCCUUGAGUCGUGUCGAGGAUGGCGGAAUGCAGCGUGUAGCGGUGAAAUGCUUAGAUAUGCUGCAGAACUCCGAUUGUGAAGGCAGCUGUCCAGAGACGAACUGACGCUGAGGCACGAAAGCAUGGGUAUCAAACAGGAUUAGAUACCCUGGUA
rnacentral:rRNA from 1 species